GCCAGUGUGGUAUAGUGGUUUGAGUGUUGGACUACAACUCCGGAGAGCAAGGUUUGAUUCUUAGCUUGGCCA
rnacentral:tRNA from 1 species